AAUGAACGCUGGCGGCGCGCCUAAUACAUGCAAGUCGAGCGAGAAGACGUAGCAAUACGUUUGUAAAGCGGCGAACGGGUGAGGAAUACAUGGGUAACCUACCCUCGAGUGGGGAAUAACUAGCCGAAAGGUUAGCUAAUACCGCGUACGCUUCUUGGACUUCGGUUCAGGGAGGAAAGCGAUACCGUGGGUAUCGCGCUCUUGGAUGGGCUCAUGUCCUAUCAGCUUGUUGGUGAGGUAACGGCUCACCAAGGCUUCGACGGGUAGCUGGUCUGAGAGGACGAUCAGCCACACUGGCACUGCGACACGGGCCAGACUCCUACGGGAGGCAGCAGUAAGGAAUAUUGCGCAAUGGGCGAAAGCCUGACGCAGCGACGCCGCGUGGGGGAUGAAGGUCUUCGGAUUGUAAACCCCUUU
rnacentral:rRNA from 1 species